rnacentral:lncRNA from 1 species
GUAUUUCAAUUCAGUAAAACCUUGGCCAGGGUAAACCAAGUGAUGGUCACUUGAUUUGAUUAAUUGAAAUACACUAUGGAUGACCGGACCCAGAGUUCGACAGUCCACUCUGAGGUCAUCUUGAGCAUCGAUGGUCAUAGGGAUGAAUUAUGCAAUAACCAUACGUUUAGGUUCUUGAAUGUUGCUUUGCAUAUUCAACCUAUCCGGACGUCGGGUAUCAUUGCUAGAUGGUCACCUCGAUUAGUGCAUGGAGUAGUCCAUGUACUACCGGCUUAGUGUUCGAACCUAUCGGAGUCAUGCACAUUAGUCAAACUAAGUAGGAAAGUCUUGACCCAAUUUAAUUAAGAAUUAAAUUAUGGGUCAUUUGGAAUUUAGUUCUGUCUAUGUUCCGCUAGCACCGAACAUGAGGUACAUGCUAAAUUUCAUGGAUGAACAACUAAUUAAGUCCGUAUUUCGGGUCAAUCAAGUUUCAAUUAAUGUAAUGCAACUUGAUCAGGACUCAAUUGUUGAGAUUGGAUUUGAUUGGGUCUAAAUUAGUGUAAUUGGGCUCGAUCAUGAUUUAAGUGGAANN